GCCGUGUGCAAAAAUUCAGCAAGAAACACACAAAACUUGAGCUUUUUCAGAAUUCCUAAAAAAAUUCACGGAAUAAGUGGUUACAUGCCUUAAACUUAGAAGAGGAAGACGUAAAUACGGGAACAAGAAUUUGUUCUGAACAUUUAUUUGCUAGUGAAAAUGUUCCGAGCAACAGUAUCUCCGACCUCUCAAUUGGCCAGCAAAUUUGUAAAAAAUGUGAACGCAAAACUCAAGAUAAAAAAAAUCGAAAGUAAAGCUAAAUAGCAUAGUAGCAGAAGACAUUUAAACUUACUUUGACAAUGAAUCUCGGUC
rnacentral:lncRNA from 1 species